UGUAGACUCUCUGGACUACAACUCCCA
rnacentral:piRNA from 1 species